UUCAGGGCAAUACCAGCCUUGGCAUCGAAGAUGCUCGACCUAAGUGGGAAGCACCAAAGUGACAAAUGAAUACGGAGAUUACACAAACAGAUGAAUCAGAGGACACCAUCAGAAUUCGACAUAACAGUGUGCCAUAAUAAUCAGUUAUGUUGCCUCCCAAUUGGUACAAAGCAAAGGCAUACCUGCUGUCACCAACGAAGUCGGUGGAAACCAAAUCCUCCUCCACAUAGCCCAUGAUACCCUUGAGUGGUCCCUCAGAAGCAGCCCUGUAAAGCAAUAGCAAUUAAGUAAAUGUUGCCAUCAAUCCUUACCAAAAAAGAUGGAUAAUAAACUACUAUAAGUUCAAGAUAGAUGCAGGAAACAUAAAAAGUGAACAUCGAAUGUGAUAGUAAGAGAUAAUUCCAACAAGGAGUGAUACUACAUUCAUAUGCAUUGGUUAAAAAAGAACAAUGCACUCACAUUCACUGAAUAUUAAAAAAAUAAAUGGACUAAUCACUUACUUAAUAGCUUUCUUGAUAUCCCCAUAGGAGGCACCCUUCUCGAUUCGGACAGUGAGGUCAACAACUGACACAUCCACGGUGGGAACCCGGAAGGACAUACCAGUGAGCUUGCCAUUCAAAUCAGGAAGAACCUUACCAACAGCCUGCAAUUCAUACCAAAAGUCAAUAUACAGCAUUCCAUCUAUAAUCAUCAGAAUAGAAUGGAUGUCGACUUUAAACUAGAAAAAUGAGGUGAACAACAACCCAAACUAAAGAGGAAGUAUAGGUUCAGUUAGAACUAAAAUGGCAAUCAACCAGGCCUGUUAAUGCUUAAUGCUCAUUUAGCUGUGUGUAUAUGCCCAUAUGGCUAUGUAAAUUAGCUAUAUAAUAACUCAUGCAGCAACAGGCAGCUACAUAAAAUGCACAUACAUUGGCAUUAAAAAUUUAUUCAUGAAGCUACAUGAAACCAAAACACAGCAAAACAAUAAUUUAGUACAAUCAGCAGGCCAAGUCAGUGUGAAAAAAUGACCAAUACUUACAAAAAGAAAAUUAUAUUAGCUCACUCCAUCCAACAUUGUGAAUUACUGAAUUUAUUAUAUACCUUGGCAGCUCCAGUGCUGCUGGGGAUGAUGUUAAAGCUAGCAGCCCUGCCACCUCUCCAGUCCUUGGCUGAGGGUCCAUCAACAGUCUUCUGGGUGGCUGACAGAUAAGUACCACACAGUCAUUAUACAGCCAUCUAAAUGUAUCUUCUCAAUAAUACUAAGAGGGGAGAUAGCUCGACAGCCAAAGAAAACUUACCAGUGAUGGCAUGAACAGUUGUCAUCAGACCCUCGAUGAUACCAAAGUUGUCAUGGAUGACCUAAUUAAUGGCAUUAGACACCAUUAGUAAAUCAAACUGCAUCAGAAGAGCAGACAACUAAAAAGAGCACCCAAAUAAGAGGCGGGAAAACACACCUUGGCAAGGGGAGCCAGGCAGUUUGUUGUGCAGCUAGCAUUGGAAACAAUGUUAAUAUCUGAGGUGUACUUGUCCUCGUUGACACCAACAACGAACAUGGGCGCAUCUUUGCUUGGGGCAGAGAUAACAACUUUCUUGGCACCACCCUAUAUAAUAAUUCAAAAAAAGGAAAAUACAGCUAUCAGCAACAUCCAAAUUAACAGGGAAAUUUACAAGGAUCAAGGCAAUCUGCCAAGAAAGCAUAGUACAUGGGUGUAUUCCUAGUCACGACACUAAAUCAUCCUGUCUGUCAAUUUCUAGAUUCUCUAUAAAGACUCCAGUAACUCUUAUAUAACAAAACUAACAUUAGGCAACUACUACGAAAAACCAAGACAUCGAGUUGUUACAGCUUAUCAGAAGCAUAGAACCAAUUGAAUUUACUAAAGGUUAGUGUACUAGUAAUCCCAGCUCUGCCUGGUUGCAGAUUGUGAGUUUGCCAGCUGUACUAAUAAGAAAGUUUUCUGGUGAAAAAUAGGACACAAUGUGCUAAGCCCAAACACUAGAUAGCCAUCACUCAAUUUGUCCACCGCAUGUAAAUGAUCAAACAAAUGCUUAUAGUCAGGAAUAAUGAUACGCAAACAACCUGCAAACAUUCUGAAACAGCCAUAGGAUCAUGAAGCAGCAAUUAUACCUUCAAGUGAGCCGCAGCCUUAUCCUUGUCAGUGAAGACACCAGUGGACUCCACGACAUAGUCAGCACCAGCCUCGCCCCACGGGAUCUCCUCAGGGUUCCUGUAGAAUUGCAGCAGUUGAAACAUUAGCUCACAGCUUGAAGACAAACUCAAACCCAUCCAUGAUAGAAGCAGGAGAGGGUAGUUAGUACCUGAUGCCAAAGACGGUGACCGGCUUCUGACCGAAGAGAAGGGUCUUGGAGUCCUUGAGGGUGAUGUCACUGUGCUUCCAGUGGCCGUGCACCGUGUCAUACUUGAACAUGUAGGUCUACGCAAGAUGGGGAGCAGAUAAACCAUGAGCACGGCACACAGAUUUCAAAAUCCAGAAACUGAAGUAAGCACCAAAUCCACAACACCUCAAGCUGAUACUGAUACUGAUACUGACAGUAUAAUAUAUUGUAGUAGAGCAACAGAGCCAGUAGAACCCCCAGAUCUACGGAGAGACCCAGUACAGAAUUGAAGUCAAACGACUCCGAACGCCACGAUUAACUGAAUCGAGCAUGCUUAGCUGACGGAUCGGUGCUAAACCCACCCUAAACCUUCUAAACCACCAGAUCUAUCAUGUGGCACGGAACAAACGCAACAGAUCGAGGCGCGUACCAUGUAGUCCGUGGUGAUGAAGGGGUCGUUGACGGCGACCAGCUCGACAUCCUCGCUCUGAAGCGCGACCCUGGCCACGAGCCUGCCGAUCCUUCCGAAACCUGAGCGAAACCACACACACGCAGACGCAGGGAGAACCAGUCAGAAGACUUCCAGACCCAACAAACCGAGCAGGAAGAACUAGUUUGGGGUAUAAACUCACCGUUGAUUCCGAUCUUAAUCUUGCCUGCAUCCAGAAAUCCAUCCAGGAAAAAUAAAAUAAAAAAGUCAGCAAACCCCCUUUGGUCAGAUCUGAGCACGGAGCAGGAGGGAACAGCAGCAACUAGACUGAGAAACCCAGAAACCCGACGCGGCAGGGAGAGAGGAAGUACCCAUGGCGAGUUGAAGAACGAGGACGACGGAGAUAGGAGAUGCUCGAGAUGAAGGAAGCGGAUAUGGGUGGUGGAGAGGGUUUUAGCCCUUGUGUCCUUUUAAAGCCGACGAUACACGAGAGAGAUGAGAAAAAGCAGAUUUAUUGCUAUAAUUGUAAGUAAAUAAAUAAAUAAAGGAGAGUGAGCGAAAUGCAACUAGAGAAAGUGAUCUGAAGAAAGAUGAUGAGGUGCGGGGGUGACCUGUCCGUCCGCCUUUCUCUAGAAGGCGCAGGCAAGGUGAGGUGUCGUCGAUGACGUGUAGGCCCAGUCAUUGCUAUGGCCCACGUGUCAUUGAAAGCGAUGGCCGCUACAGCGGGUGCUUUUGGCUGCUUGGUGUUGUCCGCGCGUGGUUUGUGACGCCAGAAGUAGAAAGGCAUAUUCCCCGCUUCCUUUCUUGGGGAACAAUGCCGGCAAAGAAUUGUAACUGCUAUUUCAGCUUUUUUAGUAGUGUGUUUAGAAAUUUAGCUAAUAAAGUGAUUAAAAUUUGGCUAGCUAAAAUUUAGCAAAGAGAACCAAACAAAUUCUUAUAUUUAAAAAGAAAAAAAAAAAGAAAUCGAAGGCCUUGUUUAGUUACAAAAAUUUUGCAAAAUGACUAAAAUUUAGCUUGCUAAAAUUUAGCAAGGAGAACCAAACAAACCCUUAUAUUUAAAAAGAAAAAAGAAAAGAAAUCCAAAGCCUUGUUUAUUUAUAAAAAUUUUGAAAAAUGAACACUGUAGCAUUUUCGUUUGUAUUUGAUAAAUAUUGUUCAUUCAUGAAUUAACUAAGUUCAAAAGAUUCAUCUCAUAAAUUAUAGAUAAUUGUACAAUUAGCUAUUUUUUUAUUUUUAACGUGGCUUUAUUUGGCUCUAGCUUUUUCUAUGAUGCACCGAAGAAAUAGAGCCGAUGAAAUGGAAGGAGCCGAGAACAAAUAAAAUGGCUCGUUGCUAUAAUGGAGUUACAGAAUACAGAGGAGCCGAAGUUAGAUAUAGCUCUAGCCAAACACAAAGCCUUGAAAUGUGUCAAUAUUUACAUUCGUAUUUGGGGGAAUGAGAACCGAAUUAAGAUUGAAGAAAUACGGGAUAUUUGCAGUGGUGAGGAACAGAAGAGGUUACUAACGAGUUUGUGUGCCCACGAUGAAAUAGCGGCUCCUGCAAGAGUUUGGGAAAGAGGCUUGUGAUACCCGUUUUACGUGAGUUAAAAGUAAGACUAAGAGCUUGUUUAGUUCCUCUUGCUAAAUUUUAGUUAGUUAAAACUAUUUUAGUUAAUCUUAGGUGACUAAUAAGAUUAAACUAUUUUAAUUUCUUUUUAAUCAGUAUUUGGCUACUAAAAUGACUAAAGGGAAACCAAAUAGACCUUAACUAAACAUCUAGACAACUAAACAAUUCAACCUUGCAUUUCAUGGAUCAGGCCUUGUUUACUUCCCAAAAAUUUUUGCAAAAUUUUUCAGAUUUCCCGUCACAUCGAAUCUUUAGACAUGUGCAUGGAGUAUUAAAUAUAGACAAAAAUAAAAACUAAUUGUAUAGUUUGGUCGAAAUUGACGAGACGAAUCUUUUGAGCCUAGUUAGUGCAUGAUUGGACAAUAUUUGUCAAAUACAAACGAAAGUGCUACAGUACCUGUUUUGCAAAUUUUUUUGGAACUAAACAAGGCCUCAAUCAUGCGAGCUGAUCUACAGCCAACAAAUCACAGUGUGAGACGGUGAGGUGGUGGAGCCGCGCUUUUGCUCGUCCGUUAUAGAAUCAUCUUUUUGUUAGGUAAGGUAACAACAAGCUUGCAUUGCAGUCUUAUUCAGCAGGGCUCGUACCGUUUCUAUAGCUAUUAGCUAAACCAUUGGACUUGUAGCACGGAGUGUAAAGCUACAUUUUAGGCCUUGUUUAGUUUACCCAAAAAAACUAAAAACUUUUUAAGAUUUCUCGUCACAUUUUGCGGCACAUACAUGGAAUAUUAAAUAUAAAUGAAAACAAAACUAAUUGCACAUUUUGUCUAUAAAUCGCGAGACGAAUCUUUUAAGCCUAGUUACUUCAUAAUUAGACAAUGUUUAUCAAAUAAAAACGAAAGUGCUACAAUGUGAAAAUCCAAAAACUUUUUGGAUUUAAACAAGACCUUAGUACUGUGGGUGCUCUUACACGUUAGAGACAGAUCACUCGUGUUCUUCCCUUUGCCAAGUUGCCAAGAUCCUUUUUCGGAGAUAGAAGCACCCUCAUGCGUAAUGAUUGUCGCAAUUAGUUAUUUUUUAUCUAUAUUUAAUGUUUCAUGCAUGUGCUGUAAAAUUUAAUGUUAUAAAAAAACUUAUUUUUUUUUAAUUUUAGGUGAAACUAAACAAGGCUCAAGCUGCCAAGGCUUUUUUUCGGAGAUCAGGAGCACUCCUAUGUAACGACGGCGACAGUCCACGUGAAAACCACGUCGGGCCAGGCGCGCGUGGUGCGCCCCCGGGGCAUCCCGUGCUUUGUCGACCGCCAGCCAGGCAGUGGCGGAUCUAGAAUUUUAAUCAUGAGGGUACGAACGAAAACGAUAUAGUUCAUCGAUAUGAACAUAACAUAAUUAGAUCACUAAACGGUAAUAAAAUAGUUGUGAAUAUAGAGUGUUAAGGUUGUUAUAUAAGCUGAGUAGACUAGCAAUUAUGUAUAACAAUGUAUUAUACAUAUAUAUAUUAUUAAAAAGUAUACAUAUUAAAUGUUUUUCAAAAAAAUUUGGGGGGACAGCUGUCCCCCCAUGCUACUACUCUAGAACCGCCACUGCAGCCAGGGAGCAACAGCUUAUCCAAUUAUGGACUAGCUAGAAUUAAAAAAAAAUUAUCUCGCGAUUUCUAGACAAAUUGUAUAAUUAUUUUUUUAUUUUUUUUACUAUACUUAAUACCCUAUGCAUAUAUCGUAAGAUUUAAUAUGACAAAAAUCUUUUAAGUUUUUAGUUUUUAGGGUCAGGGCCUGUUUAGUUUCUAUUGCUAAACUUAAGCUAACUAAAAUUUAAUCACUUUAGUAGCUAAAAUUUUAAAUACACUAACUAAAAAGAAACUAAAAUAAUUUUAGUACUAUUAGUCACCAAGAGUAGCUAAAAUAAUUUUAGCUAGAUAAAAUUUAGCAAAGCCCCAAACUGGCCUUGUUUAGUUGCAAAAUAUUUUGCAAAAUAUGAAUAGUAUCAAUUUCGUUUGUAUUUGAUAAAUAUUGUCCAAUCAUGGACUAACUAGGCUCAAAAGAUUCGUCUCGUCAAUUUCGACCAAACUGUGUAAUUAUUUUUUAUUUUUAUCUAUAUUUAAUACUUCAUACAUACGUAUAAAGAUUUGAUGUGACGGAGAAUCUGAAAAAUUUUAAAAAAUUUUCUCGGAACUAAACAAGGCCUAAACACGGCCCGAAAAAACGAGAUGUGCCCGUUGGUCCUCGGCUUCAGAUUUCCGAUAAACGUUGGCCACUUGACCCCUUUUGUACUGGAUGCUUCUUCCCUUCCUCGGCUGGCGGCUGCACCCAACUCGCAAGUCGCAAGUGGCGAAUGAAAGCAGCAGCCGCCCCGCACGGCCUGUGUCGACGACCGUACCCCGAGUUUGGAAAACGUCCACGUCGUGGCUCGUCAGAGGCUUCAAAUCCUGUCGACGGCAGCAGCUGCGGCGGCUCUCGCGCUCGCCGCCGGCCGGAUUUGGAUUGCCUCACGCAGGCGGUGGCAUCCAGACAACCGGGGCGCGGGCCCCCAUGCAGUUCACGUUUGCGAUCCCGGCAUUCCCUUUCCCAGCAAGCUCACGAGGCGCUGAUUGAACUUUAUAUAAAAAUUCCUGUUUACAACAAUGCGCUAUUAAUAUUCCGAGAGUGAGAGAUCAAAAUUCUAUAUAUGGUGUUAUUUGUGCAGCGCUCUGUUUUCAACAAUGCGCUGUUCAUUCUUCAAUGAAAGAUCUAGUAGUAAUUAAGCUUACAUGAAUUGGCCUUUGCUCAGACUUGCUGCUAGAAAACAAUGAUAAAGUUCUGGUAAGGUAAACAUUUUUAGUAUAAUUGCUUGGUUAUUAAAAUAUUUUUACAAUGGUUGGAGAGACGAUGAAAAGUGAUUCAUGUGUCUAUAGUCGGUAGAAUGAAAGCGAUUGGAGCAAGACAAUGGGAAGUGAUAGGUGUGUCUAUAAUAAGUGGACCAUAAACGUCAUUAGAACUCUAAAUAUAGAAAUGGUAAUUUCUUUUUUCAUAUUUCUGUUUUUAAUGAAAGAUAAAAGGGUAAAUUUAUAAUUAUAAAAAUAAUAUUUUAAAUAGUAUAGUUAAGGUGUAUGAUUCACAUACUAUAGUUAGUUAAAAAAUCUUCUUUUAAGUUUUUUAAAAUCUUCUUAGGGUUCCACCCAUCGGCGUCCACUAGUGCAUGCUAUAUGAAGCCGUCGUCGCCGAUGAUAGGGAUUAAAGUUUAAGAGAAGCUUGUAAAAAGAACCACCAAAAGUAAAUAAAAAGACCAACUGAUAACAUAAAUGAGAAUACACGGCGAAUAACAUUGAACACACGAAGGACUUAAGAACACAGAAACAUGACGAAUCAAGAAACUAUUAUUCCCAAAGACCAGCUCAUCUAUGCAACCAAACCAGCACAGCAAAAUUGCAACCCCACUGUUUAUAUUCUUCACAAGCAAAAAACUAAACUCAGGUCCCAUAUUAGUGAAUUUGUUACAGGAUGGUAGCAGAAAUGGAAACACAAAACAUGUUCAGACCCAGCAUGGAGCGGGCGUCCAGAGGCACCAUUCACAUUUAUUCUCAGCAUAGACAAGCAGCGGGAUGGACAGCGACCAAGGCCAUUGGGAUGCUAUGGAAAGCAGAAAAAUCUCUACUGGGUCUUGAACAUGUGGCGGAUCAGGUCGACAACACGGUUGCUGUAGCCCCACUCGUUGUCGUACCACGAGACAAGCUUGAUGAAGUUGUCGUUCAGGGCAAUACCAGCCUUGGCAUCAAAGAUGCUCGACCUAAGUGGGAAGCAGCAAAGUGACAUGAAUACGGAGAUUACACAAACAGAUGAAUCAGAGAACACCAUCAAAAUUCAACAUAACAGUGUGCCAUAAUAAUGUUAUGUUGGCUCCUAAUAAUUGGUACAAAGCAAAGGCAUACCUGCUGUCACCAACGAAGUCUGUGGAAACCAAAUCCUCCUCCACGUAGCCCAUGAUACCCUUGAGUGGGCCCUCAGAAGCAGCCCUGUAAAGCAAUAUCAAUUAAGUAAAUGUUGCCAUCAAUCCUUACCAAAAAAGAUGGAUGGAUAAUAAACUACUAUAAGAUCAAGAUAGAUGCAGGAAACAUAAAAAGUGAACAUCAAAUGUGAUAGUAAGAGAUAAUUCCAACAAUGAGUGAUACUACAUUCAUAUGCAUUGGUUUAAAAAAGAACAAUACUCACAUUCACUGAAUAUUAAAAAAAAAUGGACUAAUCACUUACUUAAUAGCUUUCUUGAUAUCCUCAUAGGAGGCACCCUUCUCGAUUCUGACAGUAAGGUCAACAACUGACACAUCCACGGUGGGAACCCGGAAGGACAUACCAGUGAGCUUGCCAUUCAAAUCAGGAAGAACCUUACCAACAGCCUGCAAUUCAUCAAUACCGAAGUCAAUAUACAGAUGUCGACUUUACACUAGAAAAAUGAGGUGAACAACAACCCAAACUAAAGAGGAAGUAUAGGUUCAGCUAGAACUAAAAUGGCAAUCAACCAGGCCUGUUAAUGCUUAAUGCUCAUUUAGCUGUGUAUAUGCUCAUAUGCCUAUGUAAAUUAGCUAUAUAAUAACUCAUGUAGCAACAGGAAGCUACAUAAAAUGCACAUACAUUGGCAUUAAAAAUUUAUUCAUGAAGCUACAUGAAACCAAAACACAGCAGAACAAUAAUUUAGUACAAUCAGCAGGCCCAAGUCAGUAUGAAAAAAUGAUCAACACUUACAGAAAUAACAAAUAUUAACUCACUCCAUCCAACAUUGUGAAUUACUGAAUUUAUUAUAUACCUUG
rnacentral:lncRNA from 1 species